ACACUCCUGCGGUGUUCGAGAAGCUGAGUUUUUUGCGCCUGGUAAUCCCCAAACGGGAUCCAGUCCCUGAGGGAUGUGUGCGAUCCCGGCCUCGCCGGGAACCCUGAUUCCUUCAAACCGGAGCCCACCUGCACUUGCAGGUCCAAAAAAACAGCAACCGGCACAGGCGGGAGUGUC
rnacentral:other from 1 species